GAUGAACGCUGGCGGCGUGCCUAAUACAUGCAAGUAGAACGCUGAAGGCAGGAGCUUGCUCUUUCCGGAUGAGUUGCGAACGGGUGAGUAACGCGUAUGUAACCUGCCUGGUAGUGGGGGAUAACUAUUGGAAACGAUAUCUAAUACCGCAUAACAUUCGAUUUUGCAUGAUAGCUACUUAAAAGUUGCAAUUGCACCACUACCUGACGGACCUUCGUGUUAUUAGCUAGUUGGUGAGUUAACGACUCACGAAGGCGAGGUUGCAUAGCCGAACUGAGAGGGUGGUUGGCCACCCUGGGAGGGUGACCCGGCACAGAGGCACACGGGAGGGGCCCGGAGGGAAACGGGGGGCAUGGGCGGAAGACUGACCGCAAAACGCCGCGUGAGUGAAGAAGGAUGUCGGGUCGUAAAGCACUGUCGUAAGGGAGGAAAGAGCGUGAGAGUGGAAAGUUCACACUGUGACGGUAUCUUAUAAAAAAGCACCGGCUAACUACGUG
rnacentral:rRNA from 1 species